GGAACGAACGCUGGCGGCAUGCCUAAUACAUGCAAGUCGAACGAACACUUCGGUGUUAGUGGCGCACGGGUGCGUAACGCGUGGGAAUCUGCCCUUGGGUUCGGAAUGACAGUUGGAAACGACUGCUAAUACCGGAUGAUAUCGAAAGAUCAAAGAUUUAUCGCCCAGGGAUGAGCCCGCGUAGGAUUAGCUAGUUGGUGAGGUAAAGGCUCACCAAGGCGACGAUCCUUAGCUGGUCUGAGAGGAUAAUCAGCCACACUGGGACUGAGACACGGCCCAGACUCCUACGGGAGCAGCAGUAGGGAAUAUGGACAAUGGGCGCAAGCCUGAUCCAGCAAUGCCGCGUGAGUGAUGAAGGCCUUAGGGUGUAAAGCUCUUUUACCCGAGAUGAUAAUGACAGUAUCGGAGAAUAAGCCCCGGAUAACUCGUGCCAGCAGCCGUC
rnacentral:rRNA from 1 species